UUGGCAGCAUUUUUUUUUUUCUUUCUUAAUAGUGUUUAAAACAAUAGUGGUGUCAUAGAUUUGAUAAAAUAAUGUGGCUGGGUGAUCCUGGGCAAUGACUUGACACCCUUCAAACCUCAUCUUUUCCCUCUUUGCUUUGGAUGUGCAUGUAUGUGUGUUAGUCACUUCAGUCAUGUCCGACUCUUUGUGACCCUAUGAACUGUAGCCCACUAGGCUUCUCUGUCCAUGGGGGUUCUCCAGGCGAGAAUACUGGAGUGGGUUGCCAUUCCCUUCUCCAGGGCAUCUUCCCGACCCAGGGAUCAAACCUGCGUCUCUUAUGUCUCCUGCAUUGGCAGGCAGGUUCUUUACCACUAGUGCCACCUGGGAAACCUUGGGGGUAAAAGUACUUUUAUGGUUGUUAUGAAGAUUAAAUAAGAUCAAGAGUGCAAAGCACUUAGUAAGUGUUCAAUAAAUAGCAGUCCUUCAUAGUACUAUGCAAAAAUGUUAUUAUUAUUUAGUACAGAAUGUAUACAGUCUCUAAAGAUCCUGCCUGUAGAAUCCACCUUUGCCACCCCGUUUUUGAAGAAGAAAAGAAUACAACCAUAUCAAGUUUUCUUUGGAAAAAAAUGACCCCAAAUGAAAUCUAGAUGAUUGCUUUGCGUGUUAGCUCUAAAGAAGUAGAUCUGAAAACAGUGUCAGGGCAACAAUCUCUUUUUCACUUUCAGUUCCUCCUGGCUGGAUGCUGGCACCAUUUCACAGCCACACUUCUGGGGACUCCUUGACUCAGGCUAGGACCUAGGGUAGUGCAGGUCUCCGCGCGCGCAGAGGUUUGGGGAAUGUUGAGAUCAGCCCUGCCCUGGGCCAGUUGCACUGCAGGCUUCCCUCCACAAAACUCCCGGGGGCUUCUCCCGUACCUCUGUAGCCAGGUUCUGAGGCCUCUGGUGUCCAGAAACCAGGGAUGGCAAACACGUGACCUGCAGUAAAAGCUUUUAUUGUUGACCUGCAGUGUGAGGAUUUAAUUUGCACGAUCCCUCCUGUGGAGGGAAGCCUAUGAAUCACGCCAGCCCAAGUGGCCUAUGUUUAGUGCUUCCAACCAACAGGCAAAAUCAAGACCCGCUGCCAAGGCUCCAGCCUCAGCUUCACAAACAGUGUCUCCUGCGUGGUGUGGGGAGCGACUGGGUGUUAGGAUUUCAUCACGUGACUCUGAGGGGGAACACAUUUAGACCAUAGCAGUGGAGGUACUUCAGUUUAUUUAGCCAGUUCCCAACUGAUGGAUGGGCUGCCCUGGUGGCCCAGAUGGUGAAGAAAAUGCCCACAACAUGGGAGAUCUGGGUUCAAUCCCUGGGUCGAGAAUAUCUCCUGGAGAAGGAAAUGGUAACCCACUCGAGUAUUCUUGCCUGGAGAAUCCCAUGGACAGAGGAUCCUGGCUGACUACAGUCCAUGGGGUUGCAAAGAAUCCGAGAAGACUGAGCAACUAACACACAGACACACACACUGCUGAUGGAUACUGCUGUUUGGCAGGACCCAUGUCCUUGGACCUACCUGCAUAACCCAGGAUAAUCUCACCAUCUCAGCAUCCUUCAUUGAACUACAUCUGCAAAAUCAAAGAGAUCUACUUACCAUGUAAGGGCUGGGACUCCGAGGAGAGGAUGAAGAAUCUUGGAAAGACACAGCAGAUAUCUUCUUUUGAGUGCUACUUGCAACAACCUAAGAAUGAACGUUUUCCCCUUGAGCCCACACUUGUCUUAGUUAUAUGUGGUUAUCUGUGUAGAAAAUUGAGGGCAGGAGGAGAAGGUGGCAACAGAGGAUUAGAUAGUUAGAUGGAAUCACCAACCUGAUGGACAUGAGUUUGAGCAAACUCUGAGAGAUGGUGAGGGACAGGGAAGCCUGGCGUGCUGCAGUCCAUGGGGUCGCCAAGAGUCAGACAUGACUUAGGGAUUGAACAACAAUAGUCUUUGUGGUUGAAUAGUGUGGAGGCCCAUUUUAAGCUGAGUUAGAGGAAAGGAUUUUCAACAUAGCAGUAUUCAAGUAAUCUGCUUGAAUGGUUGUUUUUCUGGAGUGAACCACAACUCAGCCUCAAACUUGCCUGGAAAGAGGCACCUGAAGAUGGUAUGUCAACAUCUAGCACCCUGACCCCACAUUCUAUUCCUGCAACUGUGUGCUCUGUGGGAGGCAGUGGGGCAGGGCAGUGAGGAGGGCUAAUGACCACAGGUUCUCAUCCUAAUUUAUCGCUACCAGGUAUGUGACAUGGACUGAGUUUCUCAAUCUUUUAUGCCAACAUACCUAACCCAGCAUCACUGGCUCAAUGGGCGUGGGUUUGGAUGGACUCUGGGAGUUGGUGAUGGACAGGGAGGCCUGGCGUGCUGUGGUUCAUGGGGUUGCAAAGAGUCGGACACAACUGAGCGACUGAACUGAACCUAACGCAGAGUAGGUUUCCGUUUCUUUCUCCAGUGGAUCUUUCAAUCCCUGAGUUGAGAAGAUCUCCUGGAGAAGGAAAUGGCGACCAACUCCAGUAUUCUUGCCUGGAAAAUUCCCUGGAUAGAGAAACCUGGAGGGCGGGUCACAAAGAGUCAGACAUGACUGAGCACAGGCGUGCACAAACCCCUAACCCAGAUAAGCAAAACACAGUCUUUCUUGGUAGAUUUUUGGCGUUCUUCAGUAUUUGCAAUGGUGGGGGCCCAUUACGUGAACUUUUGCAGCUCUGCUAUUGAGUUUUAAGGAAGAGACGUCUCAGGCUGAGUUCCGCUACACAUAGACAUUUAUUAGCAAGUAGGUACAGGACAUGCAUAGUCCCUGUUCAAUAAGCUUGGUGGACGCCUGGCUAUUGAUUCCCUAUAGCACCCCUUGCAUAAAAGUCACCUCUGAGGCCACUGCAGCUAUAUUUCAGUGGCAGGAUUCUGUGAGCGUUUUGUUGGAGUCAGGCAACCAGCAAAACUCUGGAAUCAGCAGGUACACUCAGGACCUUUUACAAAUGCUGAUCAGCCUUGGGGGUCAUUGACAAGGGUUAAGUUUCUCAUGGACCACUGAUGUCAGUGGCCCUUGAGAUUAUGUUUUUCAUCUAUGUAUGUUGAACAAGCUAUUAAUUUGACCAAUGGAAACUCAUGUUUAAUAUCCAUUAGGCUAAUGAAAAAGCUUCAAGUGCUGGUGAGAGAUAAAAACAGCUGAGGAGCUUGUAGCAGCUCGCUCUGGAGUGGGGCCUUCUGAUUAAAUGCAGCAAACCACCCCUGGAGUGUAUAUUCCUGAUUAGGGCUUGACUGUCCCAAGGCUGUAGGCCAAACGAACUAAUACACGUAUUUAUAGGACACUGUUUAUGCUGAAAUAUUUUAAAGCAAGCUACAGAUGACAUGAGACCUCUCACACCCUGGCUUCCUCUUCUGUAAACUGAGGGUAACAGUACCCACCUCACACGGUUGUCCCCAGACUACUAAACUAAGAGAAAGCUUAGUAUGUGGUUUAGGCAUUCAGUUGUGUCCAUCUCUUGCAGCCCCAGUCCAUGUGUCCAUGGGAGUUUCCAGGCAAGAAUACUGGAGUGGGCUGCCAUUUCCUUCUCCAGGGCAUCUUCCUGACCCAGGGAUCGAGUCCCUAUCUCCUGCGUUGCAGGUGGUCUGCAUUGCAGGCAGAUUUCUUUACCAACUGAGGCACCAGGGAAGCCCAAAGCUUAGUACAUUGGCUGGUAAAUACUAGCGGCUCAGAAAGUUUUAGCUGAUGUUGUUAUUUCCUGCCUAGAUAUACCCAAGCAACCUUUUUUGAGAAAUUAUGUACCCUAUCGAACACUACAAUGUUGACAUCUAAAACUUUUCAUUACAGAUGUACAUAAUAGCAAAGGAUUUAAUUUCUGACAUGUAGCAAUUAUUAUAAUUUUAAAUUAAGACUGAUAUAUCAAUCUUUUAAAUAUAUACAAUGGAAUCUAAAUACAAUGCUUAGGUGCCAGCUAUCCUGAUUUUAAAAGCACACAAGCAAACUUUUCUUUCCUGUGAAAACUCUUCUGUGAUAAAGUAGGGCAUUUUAUUUCUUUACUUUUUCUUCUUGAACUUGCAUUUCCAUUUCACUUACCCUACAAAAUUUUCUUCUAACAUAAUAUAUUGAAAGUCUCUUACUGAUUGGGCUGUUGAGUUUUCUGCAACAAAUGUAUGUAUGUAAAUAAAAGUUUUAUAAUUCAUUUUAUUUCCUGUUACCUUAAGGCUCCAAAUGUUAGAAAUAUUUAGUUUGGGUUACCAUCACAGUUAUUUUUUUGUGUGAGGAGUUGAUCAGAAUGGCAUAAAUGUAUGAUACAUUUUGA